rnacentral:rRNA from 1 species
AGUGAACGCUGGCGGUAGGCCUAACACAUGCAAGUCGAACGGCAGCACAGUAAGAGCUUGCUCUUACGGGUGGCGAGUGGCGGACGGGUGAGGAAUACAUCGGAAUCUACUUUUUCGUGGGGGAUAACGUAGGGAAACUUACGCUAAUACCGCAUACGACCUACGGGUGAAAGCAGGGGAUCUUCGGACCUUGCGCGAUUGAAUGAGCCGAUGUCGGAUUAGCUAGUUGGCGGGGUAAAGGCCCACCAAGGCGACGAUCCGUAGCUGGUCUGAGAGGAUGAUCAGCCACACUGGAACUGAGACACGGUCCAGACUCCUACGGGAGGCAGCAGUGGGGAAUAUUGGACAAUGGGCGCAAGCCUGAUCCAGCCAUACCGCGUGAGUGAAGAAGGCCUUCGGGUUGUAAAGCACUUUUGUUGGGAAAGAAAAGCAGCAGGUUAAUACCCCGCUGUUCUGACGGUACCCAAAGAAUAAGCACCGGCUAACUUCGUG